rnacentral:tRNA from 1 species
GGAGAGUUGGCCGAGGGGUUUAAGGCGCUGGUCUUGAAAACCAGUGAUUCCGAAAGGGUCCGUGGGUUCGAAUCCCACAUUCUCCG